rnacentral:rRNA from 1 species
UAAGCCUACGGGAACGCAGCAGUGAGGAAUAUUGGUCAAUGGGCGGAAGCCUGAACCAGCCAAGUCGCGUGAGGGAAUAAGGCCCUACGAGUCGUAAACCUCUUUUGCCGGGGAGCAAGGGCGGGGACGUGUCCCGGCCCGGAGAGUACCCGGAGAAAAAGCAUCGGCUAACUCCGUGCCAGCAGCCGCGGUAAUACGGAGGAUGCGAGCGUUAUCCGGAUUUAUUGGGUUU